rnacentral:rRNA from 1 species
UACGAAGGGGGGCGAGCGUUGUUCGGAAUUACUGGGCGUAAAGGGCGCGUAGGCGGCGAACCAAGUCAGAUGUGGAAAGUCCUGGGCUUAACCUGGGGACUGCAUUUGAUACUGGUUUGCUUGAAUUCGGGAGAGGAUAGCGGAAUUCCCAGUGUAGAGGUGAAAUUCGUAGAUAUUGGGAAGAACACCGGGUGGCGAAGGCGGCUAUCUGGACCGACAUUGACGCUGAGGCGCGAAAGCGUGGGGAGCAAACAGG